AGAUGUGAGGGCGAUCUGGCUGCGACAUCUGUCACCCCAUUAAUUGCCAGGGUUGAUUUGGCUGUGUCUGGCUAGGCGGGUAUCCCCUUCUUCCCUCACCUCUCCAUGUGCAUCCCUCCCGAAGUUGCAUGGGGGAGCCGGGGGGACUACCACCCCCACCCUCAUGGAAGAGGACUGUUUCUCCCCCAUG
rnacentral:snRNA from 1 species